AUACGGAAGGCAGCAGUAGGGAAUAUUGCACAAUGGGCGCAAGCCUGAUGCAGCAACGCCGCGUGCACGAUGAAGGCCUUCGGGUCGUAAAGUGCUUUUCGGGGAGAAGAGGAAGGACGGUAUCCCCGGAAGAAGGAUCGGCUAACUACGUGCCAGCAGCCGCGGUAAAACGUAGGAUCCGAGCGUUAUCCGAAUUCACUGGGCGUAAAGCGCGUGCAGGCGGCUGGGUAAGUUGGAUGUGAAAGCUCCUGGCUCAACUGGGAGCGGACGUUCAAGACUAUCCAGCUCGAGGGCAGUAGAGGGAGGUGGAAUUCCCGGUGUAGUGGUGAAAUGCGUAGAUAUCGGGAGGAACACCAGUGGCGAAAGCGGCCUCCUGGACUGCACCUGACGCUCAGACGCGAAAGCUAGGGGAGCGAACGGGAUUAGAUACCCUGGUAGU
rnacentral:rRNA from 1 species